AACCAACAGGGAUUGCCUUAGUAGCGGAGAGUGAAGCGGCAAAAGCUCAAAUUUGAAAUCUGGUACUUUCAGUGCCCGAGUUGUAAUUUGAAGAAGGUAUCUUUGGGUCUGGCGCUUGUCUAUGUUUCUUGGAACAGAACGUCACAGAGGGUGAGAAUCCCGUGCGAUGAGAUGAUCCAGACCUAUGUAAAGUUCCUUCGACGAGUCGAGUUGUUUGGGAAUGCAGCUCUAAGUGGGUGGUAAAUUCCAUCUAAAGCUAAAUAUUGGCGAGAGACCGAUAGCGAACAAGUACAGUGAUGGAAAGAUGAAAAGAACUUUGAAAAGAGAGUGAAAAAGUACGUGAAAUUGUUGAAAGGGAAGGGCUUGAGAUCAGACUUGGUAUUUUGUAUGUUACUUCUUCGGGGGUGGCCUCUGCAGUUUAUCGGGCCAGCAUCAGUUUGGACGGUAGGACAAUUGCGGUGGAAUGUGGCACGGCCUCGGUUGUGUGUUAUAGCCACUGUCGAUACUGCCAGUCUAGACUGAGGACUGCGGUUUUAUUACCUAGGAUGUUGGCAUAAUGAUCUUAAGUCGC
rnacentral:rRNA from 1 species